rnacentral:lncRNA from 1 species
AUCAUGCUCCAAGUGCAAGCAUGACAGGUCCACACCACCAUGCCCCAUAUUCCCGUAACCCCCUUCACUAUUGGUCCUCUGAUCCAGGACCUCAUGUUACUUCUAGUGGUGACUUCCGUGUACCUGGAGAAGUUUUUCUGUGUUUCAUGCAUUUUCGGACUGUCACUUAUUCUCUUGUUUUCCUCACUGUGUCUUAUACUCCACUGUGCCUCUUCCACGGGAGUUCAGUAGCGGUACUAUGUGGUCUUUUUGCAUUCUCCUAACCAUGCUGUGUCCUCUUGUCUGUCAUUUCAGAAGACUGAUCUCCUUCAUUUAUUUAUUUUUUUAAUUUGAUAUGUAUUUAUAUAUUUAAAAAAUUUUUUUUCAUGAGGUGUUUGGUACUGGGGCCAGUGGGAGGGGUCAUUGUCAGCAGGGCCUCCAGAUGUUGUUACAAAGUUACCCUGAGGUAGAACAGGAGCAGUCCUGAAGGCCUGCUGAUCCCAGGCCUCUGGCUCCUGCAAAGUGGGGAUAGAGCCUUCAUGGAGUGGUUACAUUAGAUGUGCUAAGCUCUUACAAGUUGGCUCCUGAGAGUGAACACUAGGGAGACUGAGGCAUGAAGAGCAUCUGAGCCCAUGAGUUUUAGACUUGCCUAAGAAAUUUAGUGCGAUCCAUUUAAAGAUGAUAGUAAUAAAGCAACCAGGAGCAGGGUUGGGGGAAUGUCGCUCCGUCCAUAGAAUGUUUGCCCAACAUAAAUGAAGCCCUGGGUCCAUCCCACGUUCUGCAUAAACUAGGUGUGGUGGUAUCCAUGGAUAAUCCCAGCAUCCACAUGGGAGGAGGAGAGUUGAAGUUUAGGACUAUCCACUACUACACAAUAAGUUUAAGGCUAGCCUGGGCUACAUGAGAUUUGGGGUGAAUGGGGGAGAAAGAAAAGAGAGAGAGGAGAAAAACAAAAACCCUUAAAAUCAGAAUGGAUGUAGAUCUGAUCACACAACAAAACAGUUUGCCUUUUGUCUUUAAUUCAUGUAUGCCCUUUGGAUGGUCUAACCUCUUAAACAGUGCUUCUGUUCUGGGCUGAUGAGGUAACUCACGGGUAUCCUUACCUCAGUUUGAUCCUCAGCCCCAUAGUGUGGAGGGGGAGGGGCGUGCAUCCCGCCUCUCCAUUUGGACAAUCAGGGCCCUAGUAAAGGCCUUAAUCCUUUUCAGAGGAGUCUCUCAAUCCACCUCUUCCCAAAGAGCGGUAAGGAGUCCGGCACACGACAGGUCUGACAAUCUCACAUCAGAGGAAUUCAAGUCAUCCCUCGGACUGUGGUCCCUUGCUCCUGGGACAUGACUCUCAAACUACUGUCUCCAUUCACAAGAUUCAGCCUUAAAAAUCAAUUUGAAGUUAUUUCCUCCCCACCCCUGCCAAUCCCCAGUAUUCAUAAAUAAUGAACUUCAUUGGGAAAGCUUGGUCUAAAUUCUACUUUUUUUCUCACGUCAAUUUUUUUCCCAAACUUUGACAUCUGCUACUACUUGUUGGCUGGAUCACAAGAUGUCACCUGCUAGCAGACAAAAAAAGAUUCAACUACCAACAAACAUGCUAAUUUAAAACUCAGGGUCUGAAUGCAGAAUUUGGGCCUACGAGAUGGCUCAGCAGAAGGAAAAGGUCCUUGCUGCCAGGUCUGAUGACCUGAGUUCAAUCCCCAAAGCCUAUCUAGUAGAAGGAGCAAGCCAAUCUCUAAAGGUUAUUCUCUGACCUCCACACAAAUGUCCUUGACAGGUGCACGUGCACAAACUGU